rnacentral:rRNA from 1 species
AUUGAACGCUGGCGGCAUGCUUUACACAUGCAAGUCGAACGGUAACAGGCCGCAAGGUGCUGACGAGUGGCGAACGGGUGAGUAAUGCAUCGGAACGUGCCCAGUCGUGGGGGAUAACGCAGCGAAAGCUGUGCUAAUACCGCAUACGAUCUAUGGAUGAAAGCGGGGGACCGUAAGGCCUCGCGCGAUUGGAGCGGCCGAUGUCAGAUUAGCUAGUUGGUGGGGUAAAGGCCCACCAAGGCGACGAUCUGUAGCUGGUCUGAGAGGACGACCAGCCACACUGGGACUGAGACACGGCCCAGACUCCUACGGGAGGCAGCAGUGGGGAAUUUUGGACAAUGGGCGCAAGCCUGAUCCAGCAAUGCCGCGUGCAGGAAGAAGGCCUUCGGGUUGUAAACUGCUUAUCUACGGAACGAAACGGUCUGGGUUAAUACCUCGGGCUAAUGACGGUACCGUAAGAAUAAGCACCGGCUAACUACGUGCCAGCCGCCGCCGUAA